ACUGUGUACUCUCUACCGUCAUGUAGUUGGGAUUGAAAGAACAAAUGAAAGGAAUUAACCGACAGAGCUUCCGAAGAAAACGUAUCGCAUUCUUCAUAUUUUCGGAAAAAAAUUGUCUUUAAGUGCAGAACAAAUGACAUGAAAGCAACUGAUGAUCUGAUUGAUGUAAAGGAGCCAAGUGAGAUCUGAAAUAAAAAGAUAGUUAUAUUUAACCAUUUUUUUUCUGAAGAAUUUGAGGAACAAUAUAAGUAAGGUCCAGAGAAAGAAAUGGGCCCCACAAGGAAUACGUAUUCUGACGGGACCACCAUCGUUGAUGCCUCCACCUUACAAGCUGCAGCCCAGGUAGCUUGGAAUGCCUACAUUUUUCAUCACGGGAAAUACAAGUUCUUGGGAUGCUAGGUCGGGGAGCCGCCGGAGCUGACGGCGGCAGUGGCGGUGGCGGAGGCGGCACCGCCACCACCGGAGACGGGUGUUUCUGCUUCGUCUUCCCGGCAUUGCUGCUGCGGUGGUGUCGAUUGCC